rnacentral:rRNA from 1 species
UGGGGAAUAUUGGACAAUGGGCGAAAGCCUGAUCCAGCCAUGCCGCGUGUGUGAAGAAGGUCUUCGGAUUGUAAAGCACUUUAAGUUGGGAGGAAGGGCAGUAAGCGAAUACCUUGCUGUCUUGACGUUACCGACAGAAUAAGCACCGGCCAACUCUGCGCCAGCAGCCGUGGUAAUACAGAGGGUGCAAGCGUUAAUCGGACUUACUGGGCGUAAAGCGCGCGUAGGUGGUUCGUUAAGUUGAAUGUGAAAGCCCCGGGCUCAACCUGGGAACUGCAUCCAAAACUGGCGAGCUAGAGUACGACAGAGGGUGGUGGAAUUUCCUGUGUAGCGGUGAAAUGCGUGGAUAUAGGGAGGAACACAAAUGGCGAAGGCGACCACCUGGGCUCAUACUAACACUGAGAUGCGAAAGCGUGGGGAGCAAACAGG